AAAAGGCACGGCUGAUUUCCACUUAAGGAUGUCAAAGAGGUGAGCACUCAGGGGUGAUGCCUUAGGCUCUGGGUUGAACUAAAAGCUGGGUAUGUAGAACCAGGAAUGUUUCAGGUUUGUAAUGGGAAGUAGAGAGUGGUUAGGAGGAGGGAGAGGCUGGGGAAUGGGAAUAAGUGGGGAAAAACAAUGUAUUCUGUCUCCUGAGAACUUCUAAAGAAUCUCAGAGUUGCUGAAGGCCUGCAGUGUCCAAAUGUGACUUGACCACCUUUUCUGGGGGGCCAUGGCAGGAAGCAGUAUCGGCAGUCGCUAAUUCUCAGCUCCAGAGAGUUAAGAGGGCCUUUCCCUGGAGACCCUGGGAUGGUGGAGAAGACGGGGCCCAGGUGGCUUAGUGGCUCAGACAUCUCAGAGUGGGCUCUUAGAGACCCUCUAAUCCUAAUGCAUCUUUUAAAAGAUAAGAAAACCAAAUCCUUGGAGUCAGAAGUGAGUUUCCGGUUAGAGUAUAAUCUUCAAAAAGGUAAAAGUAUGCCUCAUACAAAUAGUGAACAUGUUUCAAAGAUUUUAUUGAACUCAUUAGUUAGCGGGGAAACAAUAAGAUUGAGAACCACCCCGAAGAACAUUUGAGAAGCUAGGUCUAUACAAGCAAUUUAAUAGCUUGGUGUGUAAUAAGCUAUAUAAAGACUGGUUUACAUUUAAUAGGAUCAUAAACUGUACACUUUGGGGCUAUUAGUUCCACUGGGCAGAGAUUAUUUAUAUGUCUACUGAACUAAAUUUAUAAGUGAGGCUUUCCUUUACAGUGAAGUAAAAUAAUCCAGUAAAUAGAAAGUUAGGUUCAGCACUGAAAGAUUACCCAAUAAUCUCUUUGGCCUGUAUGUAAAUUUCAGAUGAUUUUUUAAAAAUUGUUCAUGGUUUCACUGAUAACCGAUAGCAGAUAUAUAAUGAUAAAGUCUCAUUAUGCUCAACCCAAUAUUUUUGUCCUUGCAACACAAUCCAGAAAGACCAAGAUGUCCAAGAGUUAAAUUUAGGGAAGAGGUGGAUCUCCUACUCCCUGUUAGCCCAGCUCACCUACCCUUCCUAAAGUGCUGCUUAUGGAAACACUGACCCCAUGAGGAAGCCCAAACUUCCCACAUUCUCCAAACCCAAGGCAAGGUCUCCAUACUUUCCUUCUUCCUUCCAGCAUCCCACAGGAUCCCUUGGCCACCCUACUGUUACAGAUAGUUAGGCAUGAGAGGGGCAUGAGAGGGCUCUUCCCCCACCCACUAGAAAUGUCGGGUGACAGUUUGGCAAUUAUCGCAUUGCCUCUCUAAAAGUGAUAAAUUGACAGCCAGUGCCAGGGAGAGGCCAUCUCCUGAGGAUCCGCGCCUGUUAACAUCAAAAUGUUAAUUGAAUGCAGGCCCCAAGGAGAAGCCCCUUGGGCACGCAUGUUAAGAGAUGAAAUGGUGAAGUAUGACAUUCUGGGGGCACAUGCCACUGGAAAAAGGGAAAAAAGCCUCAUAAACUCAUAAACUCUCUAAACGCACUGUGCAUGCUCAAUUCCCAAGGGUAACGAGGGCACCAUGCAUGCAGAAAGCACACCCUAAGAGAAGAAUCAUGGGGAAGAGGCGAGCUUAUCAAAUCCUAGAACCUUGGUUAAAGGCGGCUUCCUUUUUUUCUCUCUUUAACCUUUAGGCACCCACUUGGAUCUCUUCCAAGGGUUCUUUCCUUCCUUUACCCUUCUAAAGUCUUUUUAAUAAACUUCCAUUCCUGAUCUGG
rnacentral:lncRNA from 1 species